rnacentral:sRNA from 1 species
UCUUCCAUAUGGUUCAAGUUAAAAGCUGAUAAAGGAG